AGAUCACCAGUUCAUCUCGGCGUAUUUCGGCUUGGAGAAAAUAUACCGUCCUGCUCAGCGAUAAUGACCUCCAUGCUUGACGUAAGUACAUGGCAAAUUGCACUGUCAGAUAGUUGACGCUCUAGAAUUUUAUCAAUGAUUUU
rnacentral:sRNA from 1 species